CUCUGUAGGACAGCUCUGGGGCAAAAAGGAGCAGACAGGUGGGAGCUCCUCUGCUCCCACACAAAUUCCUCAGGCUAAUCCAGGCAGAGCUUCCACUGAACCCCACAUUUUAUUCCCUUUCUACCAGAUCAGAGACAAGGAAAUAGUCAACUGUUACCGCUUCGGGAAUACAAGAUUUAAGGCACAGAGAAGACCUGACAUGGCUGAUCCCAUGUACUGUCCAAAAGCAGAAUUGCUUCCCUGAACUAGUCUCCAAGCCAACAACCAGAGCUGAGUUUUAACAAUUAAAAUACAACCAAAUUCUACGGUAAAUCGGCUUCAGUCGAUGCAGCUACACGAGAGAGGCAGCCCCAAAGAGGUACAACUCGAGCCUGCAUGAAACACGCAGUUAACACAUCGUGAUGUCCCACAGAUGUUCAGGAAAGUGGAGAACACACACCCAAACAAAAACCCGCGGCAACAAACCUCCCUUUUAAUUAAACCUGCGUGACUCCUUAAAUCAUUUAAAUACAAAACACUUUGUGCUUUGAGGGAGCACCGUGUCCCAGAAGAACUGGAAGUUGAAUGGUUUCUAUUGAAACCACUGCAGAGC